rnacentral:lncRNA from 13 species
CCUGCGUUUCAGCGGUUCAGAUCAAAUCCAAUGCAUAAACGGUGACGAGAUUAAUGGCCCAGAUCUAAACCCCAAAAACAACCAUAACAUUGCAGGAUUCAUCCUUGAGGAAGUAUGUGUAUGAUGUCUGUUAACUGGUACAACAAGAGGUUUCUAACUUCAAGUGUCUUUCGGGGUUAAAUAAAGGUUCAAUUCAAUUUGUUUUCCAACUCUCACAAAUAAAACUCUCACAAAUAAAACUCUCACAAAUAAAACUCUCAAAAAUAAAACUCACAAAUAAAACUCUCACAAAUAAAACUCUCAAAAACAAAACUCUCACAAAUAAAACUCUCACAAAUAAAACUCUCACAAAUAAAACUCUCACAAAUAAAACUCACAAAUAAAACUCACAAAUAAAACUCACAAAUAAAACUCACAAAUAAAACUCACAAAUAAAACUCUCACAAAUAAAACUCUCACAAAUAAAACUCUCACAAAUAAAACUCACAAAUAAAACUCUCACAAAUAAAACUCUCAAAAACAAAACUCUCACAAAUAAAACUCUCACAAAUAAAAAACUCUCACAAAUAAAAGCUCUGACGAAGACUAAGAGUCCGACGCAUAAGCUUGAAUAAAACAAGUGAUACUAAGAAGAGCAGUGUGAAGGUUUCUCUUUCCUUUGGGUAAAUGAACGAAGGGAAAACCCAAAGGACUGUGUUCAGUGUUGCUGAAAGGAUCAAUUAAACCAAAUUAAUCAAUGGCCCCAGGUGUGUGGGUGGGAAGUGGGCCUAGAUUUAGCCAGGAAAAAAAAUUGCCCAUCCACUAUCAUUAAUCACAUUCUUCCCUGUUGAAUUUCUCCUCCCUUUGUAUUACUUUUGUCUCAAUUGCGAAAUGUUGGAUUGGAAAACGCCCACCUGCUGAAAAUGGAUCAUGGGAAUCAGUUAUAGUCGGGUCCUCCAGCCAACCUGGGGACGAGGUUAGUUCAAUAACAAUACAUCUCAUCGCUCUCAGGUCUUUGAAGUCCUUUAUAUCUGAACGGAGGUCUGAGAACACACCUUUCCCUGUGGUACCUGGGUUCCUAACAGAGGUCUGAGAACACACCUGGCUAUUCUCUGUUGUAUCUGUGUUCCUAACAGAGGUCUGAGACCAUACCUUUCCCUGAGGUACCUGGGUUCCUAACAGAGGUCUGAGAACACACCUGGCUAUUCUCUGUUGUAUC